AGGUCAGGCGGGACUA
rnacentral:rRNA from 1 species